ensembl:lncRNA
AUAAUGAGAAUUUAAAAAAUACUUUUUCUAAAAAUACAAAUAAUAUAAAUCAUAUACAUAGUAAGAAAAAUAUUGAAGUUAAAAAUGAUAUAACCAUAUCGAAUGAUAAAUACCAUAACCAGAAUAAAUCAUUUUUUAAACAAUUCAAAUAAAAUUAGAGAAAAACAAUAUAAUAUAAUAUUGAAUGACAAAGAAAUAGAUAAAAAAUCAAAAGGGAAAGAAGAGUUUGGGAAUUAUAAUUAUGACACUGAUAAAGAAAAAAAAAAACGAAUUAGGUACUAGACAACAUGGUACUAGCCAUUAUGAAAAUAGACAGCAUGAUAGUAGACAUUAUGGUAAUAAUCUGUUAAAUGUUAAUCGAAAUGAUAAAAUAGAAGAAAGUAUAAAUAAUAGUAUGUGUAUCGAUUUAAGUGAUAGUAUUUGUAACAGUGUAAAUAAUAGUAUUAAUGAAAGUUUCAGUAGUAGUAUUGGUGACAAUCUUUCUAACACCAUGAAUAAUAUAAAAAAUAGUAUUAACAAUAUUAAUAACAAUUUUAAUAAUAACAUGAAUGAUAAAAGUAAUUCCAUAAAUCAAGGUUCUACAUUCAAAUCAGGUGGUAAUAAAAUAGCCAGUUUUGUAAAUUACGAUAAUAAUUUAGAGUUAAAAAAUAAAAAUGAUACCAAUAUAUAUAAUAAUAACUUAUCAAUAAUAAAUAAUAAAAAAGAAAAUGUAGAAAAAAAAAUAUAGAACAAUAUAGAAAUGCAAAUGCUACAAAUAUUAAUAAAAUAACAAACGAAAAAACGAGCGAAACAGCAAAUGGAGUAACAAACGAAAAAACAUAUUACAACAAUAAUGGUAGAGAAAAUGAUAAAAAAUUAACUAACGAAAUGUUAGAAAGUAAAUCAAAUAUUUUGAAUUCAUCUGAUAAAUAUAAUUAUGAACAGUUAACUAACAGUAUAAAUAAUAAAAUAAAUGAUAAAAUGAAUAACCACAAUUUAAAUGAUAGUAUUAUUAAUAAAAAUAGUUCACCAAAACAUGAAAGUGAAAAAGGUAACAAACAUGGUAAACAAACAACAAGUAAUAAUAAAGACUUAACACGUAAAAGUAAUUCAAUAAAACAUCCAAAAAGUGAUAUAAAAAGAAUUAAUGAUAUGAACAAUUCAGAUAAAUAUAUGACAACAUCAGUUGAUAGUUUUGCAUCUGAAUUUUCAAACACAAUUAACCAAUUAAAAAAUAGUAUAUUGAAUGAAAAUGAAAGUUUAAUAGGUUCACAAUCUAAUUUAGAUGUAUCUAUAUACAGUAUUGCAGAAUCAAAAAAUCAAACAGAUUUAAUGAAAAGUUCAUUAAUAUAUAAAGAUAUUCAAAAAAAGUCAUCUUAUUAUUUAAAAGAAUCGAUUAAAAAUCAAAUGAAUAUAAAUAAUGUCACAUGUAAUGACAGAAACAGUUUCUCAAACAAUAAAAGUAAUUUACAUAUUAAUUCGAUUCACAAUAAUAUAAAUGAAAAUAAUAUGAACGGGUCAUAUAAUAAUAAGUUAGACAAAUCAAACAAAUAUUUAAUAGUAUCGAAAUAUAAUAAUAGUAAUUCUAAAACAAUAAAUAACGAAUUAACAUGUUCUAACAAUAAGUCAAAACAUGAAAUAUUAAAAUUGAGUAAUAACAAUACGAGUUAUAAUAAUAAUCAUGAUUCAAAAAGUCAUGUGUUGAAAUCUUCAAACAACGUAACAAAUACAAACAACUUAAGAGAUACAAACAACUUAAGAGAUACAAACAAUUUAACAGAAUCACAUUUGAGAAGCUCGAAAAAUAAUUAUAAUAAAAAAGAAUUAAACAAUUCAACUACCUCAUUAUAUGAUAAUAAACAAAAUGUAAACAGAAAUGUCGUAUUAAAUGAAUACAGUUUAUCCAACAAAAAUAAAAACAAUUAUAAUUUAAAUAAAAGUGAAGAUAUAUACAAAGAAAAAAAUAUUAAUUCUCAUGAACAAUUUAAUAAAUCAAUAAAUAAUGAAGAAGAACAAAAUAUAAACUUAAAUUUAUUACACCAAUCUAUAAAAAAUAUACAAGAACAAUGGAAGCAUAAAAUGUCAGAGAGUACUAAUACUUUAUUAAAUGCUAAAAGUAAAAAGUACAAUACACAGAAUGUUAAUUCGAAUUUUGAAAAUGGUACUAGUACGAAUGAAUUUAAGGAUAGUGAACUGAAACAUAGUCGUAAUAAUAUGGGAAAUAGUAUGGGAAAUAAUAUGGGAAAUAAUAUGGGAAAUAGUAUGGGGAAUAGUAUGGGAAAUAGUAUGGACAACAGUGUGAGAGGACCCGAAUCAAAUUAUUCAUAUAAUCAUGAAAAUCCAAAUCAUUCAAACGUUUUUUAUGAUUUAUCAAAAUCAAAUACAUGUUCUCAAAAUUAUAUGAAUAGUUAUAAUUUCAAUAUAUCUAAUAAUACACAUAUAAGUAAUUCUAAUUUGGCUAGCUGUAAUGGAAACUCAAAUAAAUUAACAGAAAAUGGCAACUUCCAAUCUAAUAAUGGAAUUACAAAAUUAUUAAUGAAUGAACAAUUCGUUAAUGUUGAUUUGCAUAUAUCUUAUACUGAAAAUGAAAUACAAAAUAAGAUAAAAGAUUUUGACAAGUACAUAAGUGAAGCUUUUGAAAGUAAAUGUAAUAAAGUUCUAAACAAAAUUGAAAACUUGCUUGCUUGUAGUUUUUUUAGAGACCAGUAAAAAAAGGAAUUGGCUAAAAAGUACACGGAUGUUCCAAAAAAAAAAAAAAAAAAAAAAAAAAUGGACAAGUAAAAAAUGGACAAGUAAAAAAUGGACAAGUAAAAAAUGGACAAGUAAAAAAUGGAUAAGUGAAAAAAGAACAAGUAAAAAAUGGAUAAGUGAAAAAAGGAUAAGUGACAAAUGGAUAAGUGACAAAUGGAUAAGUGACAAAUGGAUAAGUGAAAAAUAAUGAAGUAAAAAAAAAAAAAAGUUAUUUUAUUUAAUGCAGUUUGUUUUUACAUUCAUCUAUGUGUGCAUAUACUUAUGUAUGUAUCUCUGCAGAAGCAUAUACAUUUUACCAUUUGUGAAUAAAUAUUUUUUUUCCUUAUAAAUAACUGUCUUA